GACGAACGCUGGCGGCGUGCCUAAUACAUGCAAGUCGAACGCAGUGGGGACGGGUGAGUAACACGUGGGUAACCUCCCAACAGAGGGGAUAACACUUGGAAACAGGUGCUAAACCGAUCCUGAUGGAUGAACCCGCGGUGCAUUAGCUAGUUGGUGAGGUAACGGCUCACCAAGGCCACGAUGCAUAGUGUACCUGAGAGGGGAAGCGGCAACACUGGGACGGAGAAACGGCCCGGACUCCUACGGGAGGCAGCAGUAGGAAUUCUUCGGCAAGGGACGAAAGUCGGACCGAGCAACGCCGCGUGAGGGAAGAAGGUUUCCGGAUCGUAAAACUCUGUUGUUAGAGAAGCGGUAUCUAACCAGAAAGCCACGGCUAACUACGUGCCAGCAGCCGCGGUAAUAC
rnacentral:rRNA from 1 species